rnacentral:rRNA from 1 species
AGCGAACGCUGGCGGCAUGCCUAACACAUGCAAGUCGAACGAGACCUUCGGGUCUAGUGGCGCACGGGUGCGUACGCGUGGGAACCUGCCCUUAGGUUCGGAAUAACUCCCCGAAAGGGGUGCUAAUACCGGAUAAUGUCUUCGGACCAAAGAUUUAUCGCCUUUGGAUGGGCCCGCGUUGGAUUAGCUAGUUGGUAGGGUAAAAGCCUACCAAGGCGACGAUCCAUAGCUGGUCUGAGAGGAUGAUCAGCCACACUGGGACUGAGACACGGCCCAGACUCCUACGGGAGGCAGCAGUGGGGAAUAUUGGACAAUGGGCGAAAGCCUGAUCCAGCAAUGCCGCGUGAGUGAUGAAGGCCUUAGGGUUGUAAAGCUCUUUUACCCGGGAUGAUAAUGACAGUACCGGGAGAAUAAGCUCCGGCUAACUCCGUG